rnacentral:lncRNA from 1 species
AGGACCCUCAGGAGUAUUUUGAAUAAUGGGGAUUUGUGGAAUUAUUGCCUUGCCUGUGAUUUUAAUGAGAAUAAGUCUAACAUUUUAUCACUGGUAUUUGACAGUUUUUUUGAAGGCAAUCUGUCAAAUUUAGGAAAUGUCUUCUUUUUCCCAACUCCCUGAGAGUUUUUAAUUUUUUAGACAGGGGUGGCUAAUAUAGUCUGUCAAAUACUUUUCCAAAGACUGUUGAGAUAGUAUAUGUUCUGCUCAUUUAUUCUAUUAAUCCAGUGCUUUAAACAUGCAUGCGUUUCCUAUUACUACAACAUUCUUGCAUUCCUAAAAUAAACCUUCCUUGAUCGCCAUGCAUUGUUAAUACUUUAAGAUGUUGCUGCAGUAAAUUUGAAAAUAUUGUAUUCAUUAUUUUUAUUUGCAUCGAGCUUAAUGUCUAUUCUCUUUACUGGUGCUCUCUUUAUUGGGCAUAAUAUUAGCAUUCGUCAAGCCACAUGUAAUUAUUUAGGAAGGUUUUCAUCUUUUUAAUGUUCUGGAAUAGAUUAUAAAUGUUAAAGGGAUUAUUUAUUCGUUAAAAUUUUUAUAGAAAUCCCUCCCCACAAACCAGUAAGGCUUGCUGUCAAAUUAGGGAAUAUGGCGGUGCAAAGACUAGAUCUUUGACUUUCAUCUCAAGUUCUUCAAUAAUGUUGAUUUUCUAAGCUGGGCAUGGUGGCUCAUGCCUGUAAUCCCAGCACUUUGGGGGCCCAAGGUGGGCGGAUCACCUGAGGUCAGGAGUUUGAGACCAGCCUGGCUAACAUGGCGAAACCCCAUCUCCAUUAAAAAUACAAAAAAGUUAGCCAGGCAUGGUGGUGGGUACCUGUAGUCCCAGCUCCUUGGAAGGCGGAGGCACAAAAAUUGCUGGAACCCGGGUGGCGGAGGUUGCAGUGAGCCGAGAUCACGCCACUGCACUCCAGCCUGGGCGACAGAGUGAGACUCUGUCUCAAAAUAAUAAUAAUAAUAAUAAUGUUGAUUUUCUAAUUUGAAGUAUAUUUAAAGUCAAUAAGCAAACAUUCAAAAACACUUGUAUGACUCUCCUAAAUCUUUAUUAUUUAAAUAGUUUUCUAUUGUACUCGAAAAGAUUUGAAGGUAUAUCCUUCUGUGUCCAAAAGGUCAGUAUAAUAUUAUGUAUACAUUAUCUUCGUAGCACAACUAUUUGGAAUAAGCUUUUCUUCAGAGAUGUAUCGGCAUAAAGGAGCUCUGAUUUGUUUAAAUAUUUUAAAAGGUAUUAAAAUAUAUUUUCAUUUGAGAACCUCCCCUAUAUACUCAGGAAAGCUCACCUUUUCAAAACCUGAGUGUUAACUCUUUCCAAACGUUCUGUAAUGUUUAUCAAAAACAAAAAAUAAUGAAAAGAGGUGAACAUUAUUUUGGAGAGCCUCAUUGUCUUCAUCUACUCAGAUCAUCCACAAUCACUGGAGAGGAGGCAGAAUUUUGUCAAUGGGACAGCAGUCACUUGACCCAGAAUCCUCUACAGAUUCCCUCCAGGGAGCCCUUCCCAUUGGCUCUUUCCUAAUAAUUUCAUGUUUUUGGGUUUCCUCAGUAAAACUUUGGUCUUAACAAAAGUCUUUAUUCCCCUGUUAUAAUUAUCACCCUAACUACAGGCAAGAAAAAAAAUAAUCUACCACUUAUAUCAGUCAACUACUGCCGCUAUAAUGUUACCUCAUAGAUUCACCCACAAAUUUAGUGGUCACAGAAGUAAGCAUCUGCUGUCAUGCUUGGAUUCUUGAGUUGACUGCUAUUGACUCAUUUAGAAUAUGCUUGAUUGGGCAGCUCUAUUUCCGUAUUUAUGUUCCAAGACUGAAGCUCUUGGCUAUGAUGGGUUCAAGUUUGCUCCACGUUUCCUUCCAGGGCCUAGGCUGAAGGAGAAGACAUAGCAGCCCAUGGGACAUGUUCGUCUCAUGGAUGAUCACAAUUGCCAAGAAGAUAAGCCAGCAUACAGGUUAUGCCAGAUGCUAGAAGAAGACUGUUGCUAUUGUUUUUCUCCAUGCUCAAGGAUUUUUGUCCUUUGCAAAAUAAUCUCAGAAUGUAUUGUAGAAGCUACUGAUGCCCCAAUCUAUGUCCGUCAGCCAAAUGUCUGGAUUCACUGCAGCUGCGCGACACACCCAUGUCUUUCUACCUCAACUAUCCACGCCUCUCUGCUUGCUUCUCUGCCUGUGGGGCUUUCUUGGCAGUACAGGAGUUUGCUCUGCCUAGAAGUGUAAUGAGUUUAAUUUCCCAGCAGCAAUUUUCAACCAGUGAGAAACUGGAACUGGUGCAUAAACAGCCCAGAUUCCCUAUCACCCUUUGGGCCACACUCUCAGAAAGCUUGAGAUUGCGGUUACCUGCUCCCUGCUCCCUUGUGCACACACCUUUCAUUGGCUGUCUUCCCUUUUCUACUUCACUCCUCACUCCCUUGUUGCACUUCCUGGGAUCACCUGUCAAACUACCUGGGGCAUGGUGACAUGCAUCUGUAGUCCCAACUACACAGGAGGUUGAGGUGAGAAGAUCACUUGAACCCAGGAGUUCUAGUCCAGCCUGGGCAACAUAGCAAGACUCCUGUCUCUUAAAAAAUAAAAUAAAAUACAUGUAUCUACAUCAUUUUCUCAGGGUUGGCUUUUGGAGGAGCCUAAACUAAGACUGUAAGCAGGAAACACUGAGAGCUCUCCCUAAAAUGCACAAAACUCAGAGAAACUAAAGCAAUAAAGUAACUUAAUUUAUGUGUAGAUAAAAAGUGUCUCAGAGAUGGCAUUGUUCUGUCAGAGCUGGCAAGUUAAAAAGCAGCCAAAUACAAAAAAUAUGCACAGAAGAAAAAGAAAAACACUCAUCCAGGUGCUGGUCUGUGUUUAAAGCACAGAGAGGUGCAGUUUAGUCUUAGGCUUCUUCUGUGCCCUGGUAUAUUAGUCUGUUCUCACUCUGCUAUGAGGACAUACCCGAGACUGAGUAAUUUAUAAAGUAAAGAGGUUUAGUUGACUCACAGUUCAACAUGGCUGGGUAGGCCUCAGGAAACUUACAAUCAUGACAGAAGGGGAAGCAAACACGCCCUUGUUCACAUGGCAGUAGCAAGGAGAAGUGCCACGCAAAAGGGGGAAAAGCCUGUUAUAAAACCAUCAGAUCCCGUGAGAACUCACUAUCAUAAGAACAGCAUGAGGGUAACGACCCCCAUGAUUAAAUUACCUCCCACCAGGUCGCAGCUCUAACACAUGGGAAUUACAAUUCAGAUUACAAUUCACAAUGAGAUUUUGUGUGGGGACACAGCCAAACUAUAUCACCUGGCUUCUUCCACUCCCUAACUAGUAUUACCAGAUCUUUUCUCUCUGUGGGUGCUCCUUUCUCUGACUAUUGUCCAGAAGGGACAAAUAUGGUCCUGUGCUCAUUAUUUCAAGAACAAUAGAUUUGCAUCAGACUCAUGUGCUUCUGAGAAAUGAUGUCGAACCACUCUUGCGUUGUAGCUCACAUCCUCUUGGCCACAUUUUUACAGCAACCAGCUUUGUGAUAGUGUCACUGCCAGCACCUUGCAUCAGCUGCAGCACUUAUCUCUUGCUUCUCUGUUACCAUCUGUUAAGAUGCCUUCUGCAAACUACUCAGCCAUUCUGAAGCAGGUGCAAUCUUUGAAGUCCACGGUCGUGAACAGCCUUUCGGCCAACAUGACCAAUGGUAGAAGACAGUCAAUGGAUCAUCCCUUCUCUCAUUUGUCUUUCUGGUGGACAAUUUUGAAGUGUAUUCUGUGUAGUUUCUCAGAGUGUCCCCUGGAGACCUGUGUCUCAUUUGCUCACAGCAUUGUUUAGAUUAACACAUCUUCUUGAUUUUACUUUUUCCUGCAUGUACACUCUUGUGUCCAACCCAAGUUUCUGGGGAACACUAUGCUGUUUGGGUCCACAUUUCCCUGUUUCUCCCUUCCUAGUGGCUCCUCACACAACCCUGGACCAAUUGCUCUGACAUCAACAUGGUCUCCAUCUUGCCUUAAAAUGAACAAAGGGGUAAAGAUUUAAAAAUGAGAAUCUUGCUGCUAACUGCUCUGAAGGUAUUAACCACGUGUAAAAUUUUGAACAAAUGUUUAUAACUCUAACUUGUUGAAUACUUGUUGACAUACUUGUUGAAUUUGUUAAAUUUUAAAAAACUUACUGAUUGUAAUUGUUGAAUUUUUGAGAACCCUAAUUCUUCCUCAAAAUUGGUCCUUCAUUCAUUUCCACUUUUCUUUGGAAUGUACGGUAUUUACAACCAUGGCUGCAGAUUUUUUGGGGGUUGGUUAUUGAUUCAGAAAAAAUGCUUAUUAAUAUGUCAUUUGGGCAGGCACUAUAAAGAAUAUAGAGUGACUAAAAUGCAGUUGCUAAAAUACAAGGAUAAUUUAAUGAUGAAAUAGGAAAAGCUUUACAAAUAACCAGAGCAAGUGAAAUACAGAGUAUGAUCAGCAUAAUGAAUAAAGUGUUGACAUAAUACAUAAUACAUGAAGUCCUAAUACAUAAUGUUAUGGUGACAAGAGAAGCCCAUCUGGUCAGAAGCAUAGACUACACACUGUUUUUCAGUUGGCUCAUGAAGGAUGCUCCUCUUGGGCUGUGCUGAGACUAGCAAAGACAAUUGGUGAGCUUUUUUUUUGUCACAAUGACAAAAAUGUUUGUAUUUGGUUGGCUAAGACAUUUUGAAGCAACAUUUUUCAAUUUAAUUCUUGAGAACAUUUUGAUGGCUCGCUCUCGACAUCUCAAGCUCCAAGGAUAUUUCAACAAGUUUCUGUGCUAUGUCAUCAAACAGCAUGUUUCUCCUCUCCAAGAUUGAGCUUUUAAGAGUUACGGAGUCUACUUUUCCUGAGGUCGUGAAGUCCUAAUACAUGUACUUUUGAAGCAUGAUGACUCUUCAUGCCUCCUGGGUAUUUCUGCUUCUUUAUGAGAAUUUCAUUGUUAUUCAUGUGUAGAUGACAGUUUGAAUGACCUAGAAAGAACAAAACAUAAAAGUAAUGAUUACAUAAUUCCUGCCAUCCCUAAUUAACUAUGUUUUAUUUUCUAAGAGCUGCAGAUGUUAUAUUACUCAUAAAAGUCUGUUCAUGUAUUAUUUAUGCCACAC